CAGCACCUCAAGUGGUCAGGAUGAUUAUUGGGCCUAAAGCAUCCGUAGCCUGCUUUGUCAGUUUUCGGUUAAAUCCAUACGCUCAACGUAUGGGCUGCCGGGAAUACUGCAAAGCUAGGGAGUGGGAGAGGUAGACGGUACUCGGUAAGAAGGGGUAAAAUCCUUUGAUCUAUUGAUGACCACCUGUGGCGAAGGCGGUCUACCAGAACACGUCCGACGGUGAGGGAUGAAAGCUGGGGGAGCAAACCGGAUUAGAUACCCGAGUAGUCC
rnacentral:rRNA from 1 species